rnacentral:tRNA from 1 species
AUUAGAAUGGCAGAUCAGUGCAUAGGAUUUAAGCUUCUAUUAGGAAAUAUUAAAUAUUUCUUCUAAUA